UAGUCAUAUGCUUGUCUCAAAGAUUAAGCCAUGCAUGUCUAAGCACAAGCCGAUUAAUGGUGAAGCCGCGAAUGGCUCAUUACAACAGCCAUAGUUUCUUAGAUCUUAUUUUUCUACUUGGAUAACUGUGGUAAUUCUAGAGCUAAUACACGCAAACAAGCUCAGACCUUACGGAAUGAGCGCAUUUAUUAGAACAAAAACCAAUCGGGCUUCGGUCCGUCAUUUGGUGAAUCUGAAUAACUUUGCUGAUCGCACGGUCUUCGUACCGGCGACAUAUCUUUCAAAUGUCUGCCUUAUCAACUUUCGAUGGUAGUUUAUGCGCCUACCAUGGUUGUAACGGGUAACGGAGAAUAAGGGUUUGACUCCGGAGAGGGAGCCUGAGAAACGGCUACCACAUCCAAGGAAGGCAGCAGGCACGCAAAUUACCCACUCCCGGCACGGGGAGGUAGUGACGAAAAAUAACGAGACGGCUCGCUAUGCGGUCCGUCAUCGGAAUGGGUACAAUUUAAAUCCUUUAACGAGGAUCUAUU
rnacentral:rRNA from 1 species